CAAUAGCGUAUAUUUAAGUUGCUGCAGUUAAAAAGCUCGUAGUUGGAUUUCGGGUGGGAAUGGCCGGUCCGCCGUUUCGGUGUGCACUUGCUACGCCCACCUUGCUGCCGGGGACGUGCUCUUGAGUUCACGCUCGGGACACGGAGUCGGCGAGGUUACUUUGAGUAAAUUAGAGUGUUCAAAGCAGGCCUACGCUCUGAAUACAUUAGCAUGGAAUAACACGAUAGGACUCUGGCCUAUCUUGUUGGUCUGUAGGACCGGAGUAAUGAUUAAGAGGGACAGUCAGGGGCACUCGUAUUCCGUAGAGAGAGGUGAAAUUCUUAGACCCACGGAAGACGCACUACUGCGAAAGCAUUUGCCAGGGAUGUUUUCACUGA
rnacentral:rRNA from 1 species